rnacentral:rRNA from 1 species
UGGGGAAUAUUGGACAAUGGGCGAAAGCCUGAUCCAGCCAUGCCGCGUGUGUGAAGAAGGUCUUCGGAUUGUAAAGCACUUUAAGUUGGGAGGAAGGGUUGUAGAUUAAUACUCUGCAAUUUUGACGUUACCGACAGAAUAAGCACCGGCUAACUCUGUGCCAGCAGCCGCGGUAAUACAGAGGGUGCAAGCGUUAAUCGGAAUUACUGGGCGUAAAGCGCGCGUAGGUGGUUAGUUAAGUUGGAUGUGAAAUCCCCGGGCUCAACCUGGGAACUGCAUUCAAAACUGACUGACUAGAGUAUGGUAGAGGGUGGUGGAAUUUCCUGUGUAGCGGUGAAAUGCGUAGAUAUAGGAAGGAACACCAGUGGCGAAGGCGACCACCUGGACUGAUACUGACACUGAGGUGCGAAAGCGUGGGGAGCAAACAGGAUUAGAUACCCCGGUAGUCCCUGAGCGGGCUGGCAAGGCGCAU